AUUGAACGCUGGCGGCAUGCUUUACACAUGCAAGUCGAACGGUAACAGGCCGCAAGGUGCUGACGAGUGGCGAACGGGUGAGUAAUGCAUCGGAACGUGCGCAGUCGUGGGGGAUAACGCAGCGAAAGCUGCGCUAAUACCGCAUACGAUCUAUGGAUGAAAGCGGGGGACCGUAAGGCCUCGAGCGAUUGGAGCGGCCGCUGUCAGACUGAGGGAGUUGGGGGGCUAAAGGCUCACCAAGCCAACGAUCUGUAGCUGGUCUGAUAGGACGACCGGCCUCACGGGGAAGGAGACACGGCCCAGACUCCUACGGGAGGCAGCAGUGGGGAAUAUUGGACAAUGGGCGCAAGCCUGAUCCAGCCAUGCCGCGUGAGUGAUGAAGCUCUUAGGAUUGUAAAAUUCUUUUACCAGGGACGAUAAUGACGGUACCAGCAGAAGAAGCCCCGGCUAACUCCGUGCCAGCCGCCGCCAGCGUUCGUUCUGAGCCAGGAUCAAACCCUUAAAU
rnacentral:rRNA from 1 species